AACCGGAUUAGAUACCCUGGUAGUCCACGCCGUAAACGAUGUCGACUUGGAGGUUGUGCCCUUGAGGCGUGGCUUCCGGAGCUAACGCGUUAAGUCGACCGCCUGGGGAGUACGGCCGCAAGGUUAAAACUCAAAUGAAUUGACGGGGGCCCGCACAAGCGGUGGAGCAUGUGGUUUAAUUCGAUGCAACGCGAAGAACCUUACCUACUCUUGACAUCCAGAGAACUUAGCAGAGAUGCUUUGGUGCCUUCGGGAACUCUGAGACAGGUGCUGCAUGGCUGUCGUCAGCUCGUGUUGUGAAAUGUUGGGUUAAGUCCCGCAACGAGCGCAACCCUUAUCCUUUGUUGCCAGCGGUCCGGCCGGGAACUCAAAGGAGACUGCCAGUGAUAAACUGGAGGAAGGUGGGGAUGACGUCAAGUCAUCAUGGCCCUUACGAGUAGGGCUACACACGUGCUACAAUGGCGCAUACAAAGAGAAGCGACCUCGCGAGAGCAAGCGGACCUCAUAAAGUGCGUCGUAGUCCGGAUUGGAGUCUGCAACUCGACUCCAUGAAGUCGGAAUCGC
rnacentral:rRNA from 1 species